rnacentral:sRNA from 1 species
UGCCUAAACCUUGUAGGAAUAUAAGGCACGGCAGAAAGACCUCGUGAGCAGUAAGCUCUUGUCAGAGCGCUCACGAGGCUGUAUCCCGAAAGGAAUGCAGGUAGGGCAACCUAUC